GGGGGUGAAUUGGGUUCGACGGGGACAGUUGAUACCACAGCGGCAGGCCGAGCGACCCAGUGACUUGAUAAUCCACGGGAAAACACUGAAAAGCAGACUCUUACGAGUACACGUUCUGGCUGCUUAAGCCAGCGUCUCCGGCGGGACAUUGCCCGUGGACUUCCGAAGGUGUAGCUAAACGGGCUGGUCAAACGUGGUAGCAAGCUGACGCGUUUGGUGAGAAAAAUAGUUUGAUAUGCUCAACGAUGCCUGUUUGCCGGCGUCCGCGAGUAGAAAACACAAAUGACGGACUAAGCCUGUAGAAGCUUUGGGGGAAGAUCUUCGGACGCGGGUUCAAUUCCCGCCGCCGCCAUUA
rnacentral:tmRNA from 1 species